CCCUGGUGGCUAAGACGGUAAAGCGUCUAUCUAUAAUGUGGGAGACCUGGGUUCGAUUCCUGGAUCGGGAA
rnacentral:tRNA from 1 species